AGUGAGGGAUUUUGCGCAAUGGGGGAAACCCUGACGCAGCAACGCCGCGUGAGUGAAGAAGGCCUUUGGGUCGUAAAGCUCUGUCGACAGGGAAGAAGUUGGGAUAUAUUAACAGUGUAUUUCAUUGACGGUACCUGUAGAGGAAGCAUCGGCUAACUCCGUGCCAGCAGCCGCGGUAAUACGGGGGAUGCAAGCGUUAUUCGGAAUCAUUGGGCGUAAAGGGCACGCAGGCGGUUCUGUCAGUCAGAUGUGAAAGCCCGGGGCUUAACCCCGGACGUGCAUUUGAAACAGCAGGACUUGAGUAUGGUAGAGGAAAGCGGAAUUCCUGGUGUAGAGGUGAAAUUCGUAGAUAUCAGGAGGAACACCGGUGGCGAAGGCGGCUUUCUGGACCAAAACUGACGCUGAGGUGCGAAGGCGUGGGUAGCGAACAGGAUUAGAUACCCUGGUAGUCCACGCAGUAAACGUUGUACACUAGGUGUAGCGGGUAUUGACCCCUGCUGUGCCGGAGCUAACGCAUUAAGUGUACCGCCUGGGGAGUACGGCCGCAAGGCUAAAACUCAAAGAAAUUGACGGGGGCCCGCACAAGCGGUGGAGCAUGUGGUUUAAUUCGACGCAACGCGAAGAACCUUACCCAGACUUGACAUCCUGUGAACCUCUUAGAAAUAAGAGGGUGCCUUCGGGAGCACAGAGACAGGUGCUGCAUGGCUGUCGUCAGCUCGUGUCGUGAGAUGUUCGGUUAAGUCCGGCAACGAGCGCAACCCUUGUCUUCAGUUGCCAGCACGUAAAGGUGGGGAACUCUGAAGAGACUGCCCCGGUUAA
rnacentral:rRNA from 1 species